rnacentral:rRNA from 1 species
UACGUAGGGUGCAAGCGUUGUCCGGAAUUAUUGGGGCGUAAAGAGCUCGUAGGCGGUUUGUCGCGUCUGCUGUGAAAACGCGGGGCUCAACUCCGCGCCUGCAGUGGGUACGGGCAGACUAGAGUGCAGUAGGGGAGACUGGAAUUCCUGGUGUAGCGGUGGAAUGCGCAGAUAUCAGGAGGAACACCGGUGGCGAAGGCGGGUCUCUGGGCUGUAACUGACGCUGAGGAGCGAAAGCGUGGGUAGCGAACAGG